AACGAACGCUGGCGGCAUGCCUAACACAUGCAAGUCGAACGAGACCUUCGGGUCUAGUGGCGCACGGGUGCGUAACGCGUGGGAACCUGCCCUUAGGUUCGGAAUAACUCCCCGAAAGGGGUGCUAAUACCGGAUAAUGUCUUCGGACCAAAGAUUUAUCGCCUUUGGAUGGGCCCGCGUUGGAUUAGCUAGUUGGUAGGGUAAUAGCCUACCAAGGCGACGAUCCAUAGCUGGUCUGAGAGGAUGAUCAGCCACACUGGGACUGAGACACGGCCCAGACUCCUACGGGAGGCAGCAGUGGGGAAUAUUGGACAAUGGGCGAAAGCCUGAUCCAGCAAUGCCGCGUGAGUGAUGAAGGCCUUAGGGUGGUAAAGCUCUUUUACCCGGGAUGAUAAUGACAGUACCGGGAGAAUAAGCUCCGGCUAACUCCGU
rnacentral:rRNA from 1 species